UUUAAUUAUUACUAUUUUUAUUAAAUUAUUUAUGUUUUAGAUUUGUCGAUUAUCUGAACAAAUUUUCGGAAAUAAAUUAUUUAAUUUGUACUUUUGCUGGGAUGCUCAUCAUUAUGUUGGAUUUUGUCAAUGUAAGUAAUCCAUAUAAAAUAAGUGAAAAGUGUAGAAAAGUAAGAGAAAAUUUUUUUUAGACGAGUACAAUUAAUCUUUAUAAAACCAAUGUAACUUAAUGGCAUAAAUGCAAUUGUCCGAAUUAAAAUCAAUUUUCUUGAAAUUGUACUUUUAUAUUACGGAGAUAUUUCAUUUUCGCUUGAAAUAUACUUUUUAGAUUACAUUCAUCAGAUCACAAAAGUUUUCUAACCGUUUAGCGAAUAAUUAUUUAUAUAUGUAACUUUAUUAUGAGUUAAUAUAUAGUACUUUAUAUGGAAUAAUAUAAUCCUUUUGUAUCAUCUCACGAUCAAGGAUAAACCUGUCUUAUGUAAAAAAAUGGAUGAAAUUAUUUACUAUUCAAAAGAUAAUAUUUGCUGGAAUUUCUUUUAUUUUUUUUUUAGCACGAGAAAAUAUAUCUUAUAAAAUGUCAUUAUAUGUCACUACAAUGCAUGCUCAUCUAUACUAUACGAAGAAAAUUAAAUAAAAUUAAAAAAAAAAUCUUUUCAUGUAAUCAAUUGUCUUGUAGAUAUUUCAAUUAGCAACAAUAAUGCGACAUAUAAGUGAACUAAUCGAAUGUGGCACCUACAUUGUCUGUUCUUUAUUUGCGAUAUAUAUUAAUUUUUACAUUGGACAAAUGCUUAUAAAUCAUAGCCAAGCUGCUUUCACAGAAUUGUAAGAUAUAUAAAAUGUUCUUUUGCACUGAUUACUAAUUUACCGAUAAUGACUCUUAAGAGUAUACUAAUCUAUAUUUAUAAAAUUAAUUUAAAGGAUAUUCUUGAUAGUGAAUUAUACAAUAAUUUAUUUACAAAUCGAAUGCUUGCAGAUGUCAAGUUCCGUUCUAUAUGCUUUCUGUAAAAACUCAAAAAUUGCUGUUAUUUGUGAUAGCAAGAAGCAAGAAGCAAUGCGUACUCUCAAUAGGAGGUAUCUUUGUAUCGUCGCACGAAGUAUUUUUAGAAGUAAGAACAUUUUUUUACUCAAUUUUAAUCCAUUUUACUACCUAUGACAUUUUUAUUUUAGUUAAUGCAAAAAGCAUUUUCUUUUGCUAUGGUGUAUUAUAGUAUUCAGUAACUACAAAUUAUUCAUUUAGUAACGAUGAAAAUAUGAGAUUAAAUACUACUUCUAUUAAAAAUUUUAUUGUUCCCAAGAAUAAAAUUAAUAAUAAAAUUAACAAUAAAAUUUUCUCACUUCUAUAAAAUAUGAAGGUAGGUCUAAAUAUAAAGUGUAAAAAAAGAAAUGCAAUUAUAACGUUUUAUAAUUGCAUUUUUUUGUUUACCUAAUGUCCGUACACCUCAAGUAUUGGUUAUAUUUUCUUACGAAUUAAACGAUUCAUUUUCUUAAUUUUUUGUUUAGAUUAUGAAAAAGUAUUUUCAUUCACGAUGACUUUGUAUUGCAUUCGUUAGAUUCACAGUUAUAUAGAAGUAAUAAAAAAGUGAAUGCCAGUAUAUAUUACAUGAUGAAUUUGAUUCCUUCAUAAACAAUUAAAACGUACUCUCCUGCACUUAAUGCGCAGAUCGUCAUAAAUAUUACAGCAUAUAUGAUAUAUAUUCAAAUUUUUAUCCAUUUUCAUGUCUUAUCAUCAAUUCCUUUCACAUUGAAAUCGACAUAAAUAAAUAAAUUUUAAUCACUAUCUAUACUCAAAAAGAAGGGAUCACUUCGGAUAUAUUUACUAUUUCUUUCGUAAGUAUGCAACAUAUGUCGAAUUCUUCCUUCAAUAAAGUUAAACUCACAUGCUACUUGCUCCGACACGUACUGCUCUUUCUUAAAGCGACUCUCCUAUAUCACGAUCGGACAGUGACUGACAAGAGAUUGUAUUUGAUCGAUCCUUCUGCGCAUGUCCUUCCAAUAUGAAAGUGUAAGCCAUUUCACCCUUCUAUCGAUCGUUGAGAACAAUCAGCUGUUUUCGUACUUACAAAAGACUUUAUCGUAUACCCGAGUGGUCGAUAAUAGCCAUAAAUGAUUGAUAUUCAUCAAAAGGGGAGCAAUAUUUGAACGUUAUGUUCUAUAGACUCAAUCAUUAAGUACUAUUUUCAUGUCAUUAUUUUACAAAACUUUCUAUAAGCUAUAAUAGAGAGCAAUUAUAAUACGCAAUAAAGUAGAAGCGUGUUGUUCACUUGAAAAUAGAACACGGAACGUGUCGAUGUCGAUGGACUAGUCACGAUGUCGAUCAGAGGUAUGAGCUACUACGAAAAGCAUUUCUUUUUUUCCAAUCGACUAGUUAAAUUGUUGAUUGGUCUACGACCUUCUCAAAAUGCGAAGAAACAGUUGUUACUGUUUUGUAUAGUUACUGUUUACGUAUUUCCAAUGUUUGUAUUUCAGGGAGGACUUUAUUAAAAGUGAGAAAAACGAUUUUCCAUUUUGUUUAAUGAAAUAUUAUCAGUUUUGCAAUGCGGCAAGAUUUUUGUGUUUUUUUUUUAUGCUAAAAAUAUCUAUAGAGAUUAGAUAUUCGCCAGAUUCUACUAAUUUUCAAGGCGGAAUAGUUACGAUCAAACGUAUAUAUGUUUGUUAAUAUUCCUUAAAAGGAGUAAACUUAUUAAUAUAUGGGAUUUAUACAAAAUACGCGUUCUUUCUACAGUUUUAUCAACUCUAUAUAUCAGAUGUUUUAUUGCAUUCGACUGUCAAAUUGAUGCACAAUACAGUAUGUAAUCUAUGUUCGUUGAUGUCGUAUGGUUUUCUUUGUCUUAACUUUGAAGCAGUUCGUAUGAUUUAUUUCACAUUAACUAAGUAUUUAUUUAUUGAGAAUAUAUUUAAUUACGCAAGAAAAACAUUUUAUUUUCAGGGGAAGUUAUUUCAUGCUCAUUUUAUAUAUGAUUAUGCACAACUGUCCGAUGAAAAUGAAUUGAUGGUUUUCAAAAAGUACACGAAGCAAAGUAAAAUUUAUACAUAUUUUUUCGUGGAUCGAAAAUACGUCAACAUUUUCUAAAUGAAAAGAAUUAUAACCACAUUGCUUGCUUAAAUAAAAAGAAGGAAGAAUUCGAUUGGAUUGUGGACGUAAUAAUACGUCAUAGAAGGGUAACAGAGUUAGUCCAAAAUAAUUUUGUUUAACGUACUAAAAAAUUAAGAAACUUAAUUUCUAAUACCUUCUUUUUUAUAUUUAAUGAAUAUUAUUUUUAUUUAUUUAUUUGGACGUGUUAUGUGUAUGUUUAAGAUUUGUCGAUCGUCUGAACAAUACUUUGAAACUAAUGUAUUUAAUUUGUAUUUUCCUUGGGAUGAUUCUCAUUAUUUUGGAUUUUCUUAGUGUAAGUAAUUCAUUUGCAUAAGUGAAAGACGUAGAAAAGCAAGAAAAAAAUUUUUAUUUUAGAUAAGUACUAUUAUCCUUUAUAAAAUUAAUGUAUCUUAAUGGCACAAACGAAACUGUUGUAAUAAAAAUUAAUUUUUUUGUAACUGAACUUUCAUAUUAUAGCAAUAUUUUUUUUCAUUUUACAUGUGCUUUUUAGAUCUACCGUUUAGUGAAUAAUUAUUUAAAAAUAUUAUUUUGUUGGUUUUUGAUUAUUUAAGCGGAGAUGUGGAACUGAUCAUAAUUUUGAUAUAUGAUGAGGAUAUAACCAUACCUAAUAUAUAAGACUAAUAUAAUUUUUUUGUAUCAUUAUACAAUCAACAAGUUAAUAUUUGCUAAAAUUUUUUUCUUUUCUGUACACGCGAACAUUUGCUUCACAGAAUGUUUUCAUUACAAUGCAUGUUCAUCUAUGUUGGAGGAAAAUUAAAUAAUAUUUAAAAUAAUUAAUCUUUCCAUCUAAUCAAUUUUUUUUUAGAUAUUGCAAUUAGCAACACUGACGCAAAAUACGAAUGAACUAAUGGAAUGUAGUAUCUACAUUGUUUCUUCUUUAUUUGGGAUAUAUAUUAAUUUUUACAUUGGACAAAUGCUUAUAGAUCAUAGCCAAGCUACUUUCAUAGAAUUGUAAGAUAUAUAAAAUGUUACGAAAUAUUAUUUUGCACCGGUUACUAAUACACCGGUAAUGACUUUUAGAAACACCCUAAUCGAUAUUUAUAAAAUUAAUUUAAAGUAUAUUCUUGAUAAUAAAUCAUUCGAUAAUUUGUUUACAAAUCGAAUACUUCUUUGCAGUUGUCGAAUUCCGUUUUAUGUGCUUUCCACAAAAAUUCAAAUGUUAUUGUUGUUUAUUAUAGCAAGGAGUAGGAAGCAAUGCGAACUCUCGAUGAGAGGUGUCUUUGUAGCGUCUAACGAAAUGUUUUUAGCAGUAAGAACACAUAAUUUUUUUAUGUUUAAUAUAUUCUGCUAACGACUACAUUUUUAUUUUAGUUAUUGCGAAAAGCAAUUUCAUUUGCUAUGGUGUAUUAUAGUAUUCAAUAACUACAAAUUAUUUAUUUAACGAUUCAAAUAUGAGAUUAAUUAUUACUUCUAUCAAAAAUUUUAUUCUUUCCAAGAAAAAUGUACUCACUUAUAUUAAAUAUAAAGGUAGGUCUAAAUAUUAAAGUGUAUGUGAUGUUUUAUAAUUACAUUUAUUUUCCUGCCUAAUAGCCGUUCACCUUAAGUACUGGUCACAUUUACUAAACAAACGAUUCAUUUUAUUUAUAUAUUUUUUUGAUUAUGAAAAAGCAUUUUCUUUCACGAGGGUUUUGUAUUGUGUUCAUUAGAUUCAUAGUUAUAUAGAAGUAAUGAAAAUGUGAAAUCAAAUACUACAUGAUGAAGAUUUGACUCAUUCAUAAAAAAUUAAAACGUACUCUCCUGUAUUUAAUACGUUGAUCGUCGUAAAAGUUAACGCAUAUAUGAUACGUAUUCAAAUUUUUAUUCAUUUUCAUGUCUUAUCAUUUUCUCUCACUUUGAAAUAUCAUAAUCAAAUUUUAACCAGUACUUAUCACAAAAAAAUGUGUUCACUUCAUAUAUACUGAAUAUUUUUUUCGUAAAUAUACAACAUAUGACGAUUUUUUUGUUCGA